CGCCUGUAAUCCCAGCACUUUGGGAGGCCAAGGUGGGUGGAUCACUUCAGGUCAGGAGUUCAAGACCAGCUUGGCCAACAUGGUGAAACCCCGUCUGUACUAAAAAUACAAAAAAAUUAGCUGGGCACAGUGGCGGGCACUUGUAAUUCCAUCUACUUAGGAGGCUGAGGCAUGAGAAUCGCUUAAAUCUGGUAGGCAGAGGUUGCAGUGAGCCAAGAUCGCACCACAGCACUCCAGCCUGGGCAACAGAGUGAGACCCUGUGUUAAGAAAAGAAAAGAGAAAAGAAGAAAAGAAAAGAAAAAGGAAAAGGAAGGAAGGAAGGAAAGAGAGAAAAGAAGAGAAACAGGUGAAAUGAAUUGGAAUAAUAUAUUUUAUUUAACCCAGCAUAUCCAAAAUCCUAUCAUUUUAACAAGUACAACUACCCUAUUUCCCUCAGAAUGUAGCAUUGCCUCUGGUUUGCUGUGGAUCCUGUAUUGGACCACUCAGCUGUAGAGUCCUGUGGGAUCCAAGCUUCAAGGAGACCCAUCAUGCAUGUUUAGGGCCAGUUCCAGGUGUCCUUGACAUGACACUAAACCUCCAUUUCCUUUGUUUUGGAGACGGAGUCUGGCUCUGUCGCCCAGGUUGGAGUGCCAUGGUACGACCUUGGCUCACUGCAACCUCCGCCUCCCGGAUUAAAGCGAUUCUCCUGCCUCAGCCUCUCAAGUAGCUGGCAUUAUAGGCGUGUGCCACCAUGCCCGGCUAAUUUUUGUAUUUUGUAGUAGAGACAGGGUUUUGCCAUGUUGGCCAGGCUGGUCUUCAACUCCUGACCUCAAGUGAUCCGCCCACCUCGGACUCCCAAAGUGCUGGGAUUACAGGCGUGAGCCACCUCGCCUGGCCCUCCAUUUCCUGAUCUAGUCUUAUAUCCACGCUCACCACCUCAGCACGCUCAGACCCACGCUGCUGUGGGCUCCUCUGGCUCCUGGAAGAGUGCGUCCGCAGAUGCUGCAGUCUUUGUGUGGCUCAGCAAUUGCCACUCACAUCAGGAACUGCCUUUACCCUGUCAGGCUCUACUGAGACCCGACCCUGGUUAUUAAGCUAUAGGGGAGACAAGGAUGGAUCUUAAAGAAGACAAGCAAAAUGUAGUGAAGCAAAUAGAAUGGUGGUUCCUGGGGGAUGGGGGCAGGGGACAACGAGGAGUGACUGGCUAACAGAUACAGCGUUUCAGUUUGGAAAGACAAAAAAGUUCUGGAAAAAAGAUGGAAGGUGGUGAUGGUUGCACAAUAAUAUGAGUUUUGUUGUUGUUGUUUUUUGAGACAGAGUCUCUCUCUGUUGCCCAGGCUGGAGUGCAGGGGCACGAUUUCGGCUCACUGCAACCUCUGCCUCCCGGGUUCAAGCGAUUCUUGUGCCUCAGCCUCCCAAGUAGCUGGGAUUACAGGCACCCACCACCAUGCCCAGCUAAUUUUUGUAUUUUUAGUAAAGAUGAGGUUUCACCAUGUUGGCCAGGCUGGUCUCAAACUCCUGACCUCAAAUGAUUGGCCUGCCUUGGCCUCCCAAAGUGCUGGGAUUACAGGCAUGAGCUAUUGCGCCCGGCAAUAUGAAUGAAUGUUUUUAAUACCAUUGAAUUACACACCUAAAAUUGGUUAAAAUGGUAAAAAAUUUUAUGUUAUGUAUAACUUACCACAAUAAUUUAAAAAAUAUUGUGAAGCGCCUGCCUCAUGUGAGGUCUUCUAAUAAGAGGGGCUGUUCUCCUUCUCAAGAGCGCUCGCGGGCAUUGGGAGUUUCUUAUUCUCAAAUGUCCACAUCCCAAGGCCUACCCCGUCCCUGUCAGUGUCAGAAGUUAGCAGAGCAGAACUGCUAGAUGUGCUCACUCCAUCUCCUCCAUGGUUGGCCCACCCUUUCGAUCAGAUCCUGGAAUUGGCUUUCAGCACAGCCUUCCAGCUGGCUGUGAUAAAUGAGAGUGGCUUAAACCCUGUCAUCAGGGUUUCACAGCUUGCCCUGAACCGUAGCCUCUCAUUUUCUCCUUGCAAAUCUUCUAAGGCAGCUAAGAGAAGCCAAUUAACUUCACAAUCCACAUAAUUAGCAUUGCCCCAAACCUUUCAAGUGCUGGAAUGCUGGCGUCCACUAGUGCCUCAUUUCUUUCUAAACCUCAUUCCACAUGGCAGGGGAAGGUCUUAGGAAUUGUGGAGCUGUGGCGUUCUAAGGGUUCUCACUGCCUACCUAUCACCAGCAAGGGAGUCCUUGUUGCCAUCCAUCCCUAGGGGGUAAUUUUGUUCCCUGAGGCUGCUUUCUAGGGACUUCUGGUCGCUUGUUUUAUCCUGGACCAGACCUGAAAGCAGAGCCUGAAAUAAGGCCUUCUAUGCACAUCAUUUAUGUAGGAGGUGGCCCUAGGAAGCAGGCCCAAUGCGCCAUGGGAAAAACCAGUACCAGGGUGUUUUGCUGAGUUGAGCACUGUGGUGGGCAGCUGGACAUGAGCCCACUGGAAUCUUCUGAAGAGCCCAAGAGCCUCUUCUCAGUAUUGUCCACUUGAGGAUUGAUAGUGAGAGGCAUUUAUCCACUGGUGUCCAACGCUCACUGGUUGAGGAUCACCCCAGAAAGCGACACCUCCCCCACUUCUAGACUAGCAUGUGGGUAUUCCAAGCAGGCUUACCUCAGUGUCUCACCCCAGGCACUGCAAACACCCCAGGACAGAAAGUGAACAUGUGUAUUGUGCAAUUGAAGCAAGACACUAUCAGUGCAAAGUGAGUAGACCCUCAGAUGCUGCUGGGUCAGAGGGAAGGCCCAGGGAUAUGACACAGGACACAGAGGUGGCAGAUACACCACCUCCCAACAUUUCCUCUAUCACAGCAACUAGAACAAUGGCAACAAUAGGGGUGGGUGUGGUGGCUCACGCCUAUAAUCCCAAUACCCUGGGAGGCCAAGGCAGAAGGAUUGCUUGAGCCCAGGAGUUCAAGACUAGCCUGGGCAACUUGGCGAAACCCUGUCUCUACAAACAUAUUUGUAUGUGAUUGAACAAGUAGAACAAUGGAACGGAAAGUCCAGAUGUAGUUCUAAAUAUGUACAGGAACUUAGUAUAGGAUAAAUAUGGCAUCUUAAAUCAAUGGGGAAAAGAUGGAUUAUUCAACAUAUUGUAAAAACUUGAGAAUCACAUUAAAAAAGUUGGACUCCUACCUCAUUCUUUACAACAAAAUUAAUUCUGAUAGAUGUAGUCACAGAAGAGCUAGAAGAAUAUGCAGGGGAUUUAAAAAUAAUCUUGAAGUGGGGAGGACUUUUAUAGGUAUGACUCACAACCCAGAAAACAUAAAGGAUUGUUAAAUUUAAUUAGAUAAAUCAUUUAAUUAGAUGAAACAUUUAAAAAUUACAUUUAGAAAUCAUAAACUAAAUCCAAAGAAUAACUAGGGGCCGGGCGCAGUGGCUCACGUCUGUAAUCCCAUGGGGCAGGUGGAUCACCUGAGGUUGGGAGUUUGAGACCAGCCUGUCCAACACGGUGAAACCCCGUCUCUACUAAAAAUACAAAAAUUAGUUGGUGUGGUGGCACAUACCUGUAGUCCCUGCUACUGGGGAGGCUGAGGCAUGAGAAUUGCUUGAACCUGGGAGGUGGAGGUUGCAGUGAGCCAAGAUCGCGCCACUGCAUUCCAGCCUGGGCGACAGAGCAAGACUCCAUCUCAAAAAAAAAAAAAAAAAAAAAAAAAAAAAAAAGAAUAACUAGGGAGAAAACACCAUGAUGUGUUGCAUAAUAACAUUUCAGUCAUUCAUGGACCAAAUAUAAAAUGGGGUCCCAAAAAACUAUAAUACCGUGUUUUUACUGUACCUUUUCUAUGUUUAGACACAUUUAGAUACACAAAUACUUACCAUUGUGCUACAAUUGCCUAGUGUUCAGUAGCAUGCUGUACAGGUUUAUCCCUAGGAAGAAUAGACUAUCCCACACACCCUAGGCGUGUAGCAGGCUAUGCCAUCUAGGUUUGUGUGAGUACACUCUAUGCUGUUCAAACAGUGACCUCCACUGUUAGGUGAAGCAUGACUGUAUUUUGAGCCCAGGUCUCAGAUAUUGUAUGAAGUUUCAUAAUAUUAUGAGCUUUUACAAAUCAUUAAGAGAAAGACCAAUAAUCCAGUAGAAAACUGGGAAAAGGUGGCAUCUGCAGGGUAACACCAGGGCAGCACAGAAAUCUUGCUGGGAUGAGGAGCUGCAAACAUGUGUGGUCGACUUUUUGGCCUUCUGCCUCUUCUACUCUCAGGGAUGGGGGAUUACAACUAAAGAAGUUGUCUUUUGGCCGGGCGUGGUGGCUCACGCCUGUAAUCCCAGCACUUUGGGAGGCCGAGGCGGGUGGAUCACAAGGUCAGGAGAUCAAGACCAUCCUGGCUAACACGAUGAAACCCCGUCUCUACUAAAAAAUUCAAAAACAUUGGCCGGGCGAGGUGGCGGGCACCUGUAGUCCCAGCUACUCGGGAGGCUGAGGCAGAAGAAUUGUGUGAACCCGGGAGGCGGAGCUUGCAGUGAGCCCAGAUCGCGCCACUGCACUCCAGCCUGGGCGACAGAGGAAGGCUCCGUCUCAAAAAAAAAAAAAAAAGAAGAAGUUAUCUUUUCUCAGUGUUGCUUCUCCCUAAGGAUUUAAAGGGGAGACCUGGCCAGAGGAAUCAUCAACAGUGGAUUUGUGAUGACUGGAGUUCAUUUCCUUCUUUCUCAACUGUCCUGGAAGGAAAUGGACUAGUGCCUUACCUCUGACUCUUCCGCAGCACACACCCACCACCAGAGACAGUAACUGAGAUCUGCAGUAGCACAGAAACUUACAGGUUAGAAAAAUUAGACACCUAAGGAUUUCAUGACUCCAGACCUGUUUCCUUAGCAUAAUACCACACCAGUAGGAGAAAUACAACUUACGAAAUUUCUUUGUAAAUAAAUUCUAUAACAUUUUGGGUAAAAAUUUAUCAUAAAAAAAUUAUUAAAAGCAAUUGGGUUGGAAGGAAGUUCUGUCAAAAUACAAUCCAGGUGUGCAGUUCUCUGAUAAAUUUAGCAGUGGUUACUACUGAGGCAGUCUCAAAAAAAAGUGUAAAAGGACUUUAAGGGGUGAUGAAAAUUUUCUACAUUGCCUUUGUGGAGAUGGUUAUACAUUUGUCAAUACUCAUCAAUUUGUACAUUUAAAAGAGGUAAAUUUAUUGUAUGUAAAUUGUAUCUUAAUAAAACUGAUUAAAACAGACAUACAAACCCC
rnacentral:lncRNA from 1 species